rnacentral:rRNA from 1 species
UAGUUCAACGGCCGCGGUAUCAUAACCGUGCGAAGGUAGCAUAAUCACUUGUCUUCUAAAUAAAGACUAGUAUGAAGGGCUAACUGAGGAUCCAACUGUCUCUUACGGUCAAUCAAUGAAACUGAUCUCUCAGUACAAAAGCUGAGAUAAACCCACAAGACGAGAAGACCCUGUGGACCUUCAAGCCCAAUGUUAACCCACACUAAAAUCUACGGAUUAAACCACAAUACGUAUAACACCAUGGCUUUGAGUUGGGGCGACUAUGGAGAAAAAUCCAACCUCUACGAAACAAGGCUAUUCCCCUGCACAAGGCCCACACGCCUAGUGCCCACAAUAUAUCGACCCAGUACUACUGAUAAUCGAACCAAGCUACCCCAGGGAUAACAGCGCAAUCCUCCUCAAGAGCUCCUAUCGCCAGGGGGGCUUACGACCUCGAUGUUGGAUCAGGACACCCAGGUGGUGAAGCCGCUACUAAGGGUUCGUUUGUUCAACGAUUAAAGUCCUACGUGAUCUG